rnacentral:rRNA from 1 species
GACGAACGCUGGCGGCGUGCUUAACACAUGCAAGUCGAACGCGCCUGUCCUCUGGGUUUCUGGGGGGUGGGUGAGUGGCGAACGGGUGAGUAACACGUGAGUAACCUGCCCCCUUCUUCGGGAUAACGGUCUGAAAGGGCUGCUAAUACCGGGUAUUCACUGGUCUCCGCAUGGGGUCUGGUGGAAAGGUUUUUUUCUGGUGGGGGAUGGGCUCGCGGCCUAUCAGCUUGUUGGUGGGGUGAUGGCCCACCAAGGCUUUGACGGGUAGCCGGCCUGAGAGGGUGACCGGUCACAUUGGGACUGAGAUACGGCCCAGACUCCUACGGGAGGCAGCAGUGGGGAAUAUUGCACAAUGGGCGCAAGCCUGAUGCAGCGACGCCGCGUGAGGGAUGGAGGCCUUCGGGUUGUGAACCUCUUUCGCCCGUGGUCAAGCCGCGACGUGGGUCGUGGUGAGGGUAGUGGGUAAAGAAGCGCCGGCUAAUUACGUG